rnacentral:rRNA from 1 species
AUUACUAACCGUGCAAAGGUAGCAUAAUCAUUAGAUUUUUAAUUGGAGUCUUGUAUGAAUGGUUGGACAAAAGGAAUACUGUCUUUAUAUUAAAAUUGAAUUUAACUUUUAAGUGAAAAGGCUUAAAUAAUCUAAAGGGACGAUAAGACCCUAUAAAGCUUUAUAUUAUAAUUAUAUUUUAUUGAGUUUAUAAAUAAAUUUUUAAUUUAAUUAUUUAUUGUGUUGGGGAGAUAUAAAUAUAAUUUAUAUUAACUGUAAGAUUAUAAAACAAAUAUUAAUGAAUAUUUGGAGAUCCUUUAUUUAAAGAUUAAAAGAUUAAGUUACUUUAGGGAUAACAGCGUUAUUUUUUUUAAGAGUUCAUAUCGACAAAAAAGUUUGCGACCUCGAUGUUGAAUUAAAAUUUCUAUAUAAUGAAGGGAUUAUAUAAGAAGGUCUGUUCGACCUUUAAA